AUAAAUAGCAAAAAAAAAAAACAAGGAAGGGUAUCUUAAUAAAAAAAGAUAAGGGCAUUUAAGGGAUUUGGUAAUUUGCUCUCCAAAUGAACAUAUCGGAUCCUAAUUAGUCUUUCUAUCGCUCGUUUCCGUCUCCUGAUUCUUCACCGACUCCAUCGACCUCCUCCCUAACUCCAUCGAGCACCUCCUUCCACCCUCCACGUCCAACGCCCAUCCCUUCGAUCAAUCAUCUCCUCCCUCCCUCAAUCGACCACCUCUACCUCCGUCAACGAUCAACAACGACUAGCAAUCAACAAUCCUUAAUCCAGAAGCAAGCAGAUCAUCACAAGUCGGUCUCGCUUAUGUUGCAUAUGCUUCGAAUCUCAAGCUCGAGAACUCUAAGCUCGUUAGGGUUUUGACUGAUCUUUCACGCAGCUAUACAGAUCUCAUCUUGAAACCGACUUAUAGAACUUUGUUCGAAUCAGAUGUGGAAUCAAAAGACGAAGUGAUGCUCCGACAGAGUUGGGCGAUAUCGCCUUCGCAUCCGUCAGAUAUUUUCGUUGCCGUCCUCGGCUCCGUCAGAUCGAUGUCAUGACUGCUCCGUCUUCUCCAUCUCUUGCGCCUAUAAGCUUGAAGAAGAAGAAGAAGAAAGGAGCAAAGAGAAGAGGUGUAGAGCAAAGAUCCAAGGGCAAAAUCAGAGUUCAUUGAGCCGGGGAGAUACCGGAGCAGCAACAGUUAGCUUCCAGAGCCAUUCACACAGCAGCCAGUUCACGAGGUAUUUCCGCAAGCAAAGGGAAGAGCUCGGGAUGAUGAUAUCGCACACACCACAGCUUCAGUUUUUGUCCUGGGAGUUGAUUCCGUUAGUUGAUAUGUUUGGAUACAGUUGUGAUACAGUUUUCUUUCUCUCAGUAUUUUAUCAUGGUUUUUGAAACACGCAACGUAUGAUUUUGUUAUGUGAUACUUGGUUUCAUGUUUUUGUUAUGAUAAAAAUUGAAAUUUUUGGGUCGUAUUUUUG